rnacentral:rRNA from 1 species
UGGGGAAUAUUGGACAAUGGGCGAAAGCCUGAUCCAGCCAUGCCGCGUGUGUGAAGAAGGUCUUCGGAUUGUAAAGCACUUUAAGUUGGGAGGAAGGGCAGUAAGCGAAUACCUUGCUGUUUUGACGUUACCGACAGAAUAAGCACCGGCUAACUCUGUGCCAGCAGCCGCGGUAAUACAGAGGGUGCAAGCGUUAAUCGGAAUUACUGGGCGUAAAGCGCGCGUAGGUGGUUCGUUAAGUUGAAUGUGAAAGCCCCGGGCUCAACCUGGGAAGUGCAUCCAAAACUGGCGAGCUAGAGUAGGGCAGAGAGUGGUGGAAUUUCCUGUGUAGCGGUGAAAUGCGUAGAUAUAGGAAGGAACACCAGUGGCGAAGGCGACCACCUGGGCUCAUACUGACACUGAGGUGCGAAAGCGUGGGGAGCAAACAGG